rnacentral:rRNA from 1 species
AUUGAACGCUGGCGGCAGGCCUAACACAUGCAAGUCGAGCGAGUGGCGGACGGGUGAGUAAUGUAUGGGGACUGCCUGAUAGAGGGGGAUAACUACUGGAAACUGUGGCUAAUACCGCAUACUAUCGGAUAACCCAUAUGGGAUUAGCUAGUAGGUGGGGUAAAGGCUCACCUAGGCGACGAUCUCUAGCUGGUCUGAGAGGAUGACCAGCCACACUGGGACUGAGACACGGCCCAGACGCCUACGGUGGCAGAAGGGGGGAAUAUUGCGCAAUGGGCGCAAGCCUGAUGCAGCCAUGCCGCGUGUAUGAAGAAGUCCUUAGGGUUGUAAAGUGCUUUCAGCGGGGAGGCGUUACCCGCAGAAGAAGCACCGGCUAACUCCGUGCCAGCCGCCGCGGUAAUAC